UAUAUUUUCUGCACUCGAAAUGUUGAGACUGUAUAAUUAGAUUUUUUAGAAAAUAAGAAAAAUGGUAUACAUCCAAAAAAUUUAAUUUCAAUGAAUAAACAUGUAAUUAUAUCUUAUGGCGCGUUUAAUGAUUUGGAGUGCAAUUUUUAGCAAGAAAAUUCUCAUUUCGAUAUUUACGCCACUUAUUUAUAAUAAUACACAAAAUAGCGAUUUGGCAGUCGAAUAAUGAGAAAUCGCGGUUAUCUACCGUUAUCUGCGCAAUCGCGGAUAUCCGCGGAUAUGUGCAUGCGCGACGAUUCAGUUGCUAGUUUCGCACCUCACUUCGUCACUUCUGUCACUUUUCAACGACGAGUUGCAGUGAACGUUUCGUUUUCGUUUUUCCGUUUCGUUUUUUUCGUUUCUGAUCCACGUUUCGUGGAUCAGUUGUUUCGAUUAAUCGUAAUUGACAAAGUGCUUUCCUUGAUGCGCGUCUUACGGAAUUCGGAGAGACGAAAUUUUAACGUCGAAAGUUAACCUCGGUGGACCUGUCGGUUUCGCGGUUCCGUAAGAGGUAUCCGAAUGGAACGAAACGCUGUCUGUGCCAAAUCGAUGAGAAUCCUUGCGAAACGCAUAUAGAGACACCCAACGUGUUAUAGCUGUAUCUUCCACCGUAAAGCGACCGCGAAGCGUACCACAUUCUACAUUCAAAGUCGACACAAGAGAUACAAUGGAUAAUAUAUAUAAUUACACUUACGACAACUUAACGUACAACAACACAGUCCUAAAUUGUGAGGCCAAGUUGCCGAUUAUCGCUUUAGUUAAUCAGAUUCUCUACUCCAUUGUUUGCAUCAUCGGACUCCUCGGAAAUACUCUCGUCAUUUAUGUUGUCCUACGCUUCUCGAAGAUGCAAACUGUUACAAAUAUGUACAUUGUAAAUUUGGCAAUAGCGGACGAGUGCUUCUUAAUCGGUAUACCGUUCUUAGUGACGACCAUCAGUUUGCGUAGUUGGAUUUUUGGUAACAUCAUGUGCAAAGCGUACAUGAUCACGACGAGCAUCAAUCAGUUUACCAGCAGCAUCUUUCUGUUCAUCAUGAGCGCCGAUCGCUACAUCGCCGUGUGCCACCCAAUUUCAUCCCCGAAGAUGCGCACGCCUUUCAUCUCCAAAAUAGUUUCGCUUACCGCCUGGCUCACUAGCGCUCUCUUUAUGAUACCAAUAUUUCUGUACGCAAAUACCAUGGAAUACACAGAUGGAAUUGUCAGUUGCAACAUUUAUUGGCCUCAUGAUCACGGCGGCCAGACAACUUUCACCCUUUACACGCUUAUCCUAGGCUUCGCCAUACCCCUGGUACUCAUACUGAUUUUCUACUGCCUGGUAAUCAGAAAACUGCGGACAGUAGGUCCAAAGAAUAAAUCGAAGGAGAAGAAACGGUCGCAUCGAAAGGUCACUAGGCUGGUCUUAACAGUGAUCACUGUAUAUGUCUUUUGUUGGUUACCCUAUUGGGUCACCCAAGUAGCUCUGAUAUAUACUCCACCAAAACAGUGCCAAUCCAGCAUAAGCAUUGCAAGCUUUCUGCUAGCUGGUUUCCUUAGUUAUAGCAAUAGUGCUAUGAAUCCAAUUCUAUAUGCAUUUCUAAGUGAUAAUUUUAAAAAAAGUUUCCUGAAGGCGUGUACUUGCGCUGCCGGAAAGGAUGUUAACGCAACCUUGCACAAUGAAAACAGUGUAUUUCCACGAAGAAAAGCUAAUGCUGACAGAUUACAAGCUGAUCGAUUGAUCGCAGCUGGAUCAUCUAGAAUAGAUCUCGAUGACGAGGAAGCGGAGAGAGGGCUUCUUAGCAAGACCUCCACCACCACGGUUACAAUGACGUCAAGGUCGAAUAUCACAGUCAGUAGCGAUCACAGGGAUUUAGCACAAAGGAACAAAGAUUUAAAUAAGAAUGGUGCACAAUUAACUCUGUUGACGCAGGUUUAAAGUACCGUCGCCAUUGUUGUAACUCCGGAGAACUUUUUAUUGCGAUAAGCCGGGAAAGCUGGCCUUUCAGACUUAUCCACUCGCCGGAUCUUGUGAUUAAUGUGAUGAUACUCGAAUGAGUUGUGCUGUCACUGGUGACUAGUGACGUUGAGAAUCGAGAUUAAGUGCAAUGAAAUCUAGAUAAGAAUACGUUGGAUUAUCGGAGGUCUGUCAUCAAUUAGUGCAAACGGUGAUUUAGAUGGACGGUGAUUUCGUAGAGUCGCGCGAUAGUGAAAUGCAAUUUUGGUGCACUAUAGAUAGAUACUAAUGUGGAAGAAACUUCAAAUACGGAAAUUGAUUUCUCGGUGCUAUCUGCUCGUCAAAAAAUCGCUGUAGCACGGAAGUGUCGUAAUUUACGAACGCUGUAUUUUAUAAGUCCUCCUUUUCUUUACACAGAAUGAUUUUCACGCAUUUGAUUUAUCUACAAAAAAAGAGAAUCGAAAUAUGUCGAGACGAGAAAUUCUCGAUAUUAAGAAGUUCAUGAUGAAGGACCACAACGUGACGCGUUUCUCCAUUUCAGGUAGCCCUAGCAGAAAAUGCCAUUGAGUUGAUGUAUCCGUAUUCAUUUCGCUGUAAUCGUUCAAGAAAAGCUCACGGAUUUCUUUCCCUCGCAAUGGCAAUUCUAUUUUCUUACAUGAUUCAUGACCUUUGCCGGUUGCAAGUCGGGAUUGAAUGAGGACUGUCAGGUGGAAGCUGAUUCUGGUGAACUCUUUGGAACGGCCUUCUGUGACUUGCUUUUGGGACCUGCUUUCGUUUCGGAGAUAAUCAGCUUCCCUCGAGUUGUAAAAGCUCGAUGAAGACUGCGGCUGCGAUGGAGGGAGCUCUGAUGAUUUCGUCCGAUGAAGUUUUUAUUAUCAAGUGGAAAGAGGAUUUGCACGCGAACUUUUUCUCGCAGGUGUCAGUCGUAUCCUUAAUAAAACGAAAGAAUCCAACAAGCCUUCGCAGAGUGCUCCCUGCAGAGAGCGGGACACGCGGAUACUCCCUCUCAGAAGUUUUAUGGAUGAAGAGUUUGUGAUGUAGAGUAACAAUGUCUCUCUUUUCCUUCCCGUCAAGCAAGUCUAACAUAAGAGUACGUCCCUACAUGCACGCGCGCAUACAUAUACACUAAAAGAGAACGUGGGGAUUAAUUAGAAUUGGACCUGAUAGCACGUCCUUUCUCUGGGGUGGAAAUGCUCUCGAGUCCCAUGGAUUUUUAUAUUCUAAGAUAAGUAUAAGGAAAAUGGUCUUGAACUUCUGCCAGGCCCUUCUGGUCUGGAUAUAAGGUACCGUCUUGCCGAGUGUGUGUGUGUAAAAGGAAUUGACUUUUGUUGUCACAUUUAUGCAGUUCCGAAGAUCACUACAGAGGGUGGGACUAAAAAAAAGUGUUCACAGCGGUCGAGUAAAAAAUUCCAAUUAGUUAGGAUAGCUUAGAACGUAUCAGAUAAUAUUGUGGAAUACACCAGGUUAAUAAUAUAAUUUUGUGCUAUUCCAGUAA